rnacentral:rRNA from 1 species
GUACACUCCUGCGGGAGGCAGCAGUGGGGAAUUUUGGACAAUGGGCGAAAGCCUGAUCCAGCAAUGCCGCGUGCAGGAUGAAGGCCUUCGGGUUGUAAACUGCUUUUGUACGGAACGAAAAAGCUCCUUCUAAUACAGGGGGCCCAUGACGGUACCGUAAGAAUAAGCACCGGCUAACUACGUGCCAGCAGCCGCGGUAAUACGUAGGGUGCGAGCGUUAAUCGGAAUUACUGGGCGUAAAGCGUGCGCAGGCGGUUAUGUAAGACAGAUGUGAAAUCCCCGGGCUCAACCUGGGAACUGCAUUUGUGACUGCAUGGCUAGAGUACGGUAGAGGGGGAUGGAAUUCCGCGUGUAGCAGUGAAAUGCGUAGAUAUGCGGAGGAACACCGAUGGCGAAGGCAAUCCCCUGGACCUGUACUGACGCUCAUGCACGAAAGCGUGGGGAGCAAACAGGAUUAGAAACCCUUGUAGUCCCAUGA